rnacentral:rRNA from 1 species
GAUUAACGCUGGCGGCGUGCAUAACACAUGCAAGUCGAACGAUGAAACUUAGUAGACUUCUUCGGAAAGACACUAAGCGGAUUAGUGGCGAACGGGUGAGUAACGCGUGAGUAACCUGCCUUACACAAGGGGAUAGCCUUUGUAAACGAAGAAUAAUACCCUAUAAAACUAUAAAAGCACAUGCUAUAAUGGUCAAAGUGAUAGCGGUGUAAGAUGGACUUGCGUCUGAUUAGCUAGUUGGUGAGAUAAAAGCUCACCAAGGCAACGAUCAGUAGCCGGCUUGAGAGAGUGUACGGCCACAUUGGGACUGGGACCCGGCCCAGACUCCAACGAGAGGCAGCAGUGGGGAAAUUUGCACAAUGGGGGAAACCCUGAUGCAGCGACGCCGCGUGAUUUAGCAGGCCUUCGGGUUGUAAAAAUCUUUUGUAUAGGAAGAAAAUGACAGUACUAUACGAAUAAGGUCCGGCUAAUUACGUG